rnacentral:lncRNA from 1 species
CUCCCGACAGGAAGGAAGUGCUAGUCACAAGACCCAAUUACCACUCCCAGUUGGGCCCUUCCCCCACAAACUGUCAGUCUUGUUUCCUUUCCAAAUAGGAAUUCAAAAUUCAAAAUGCUAGGGAAUUCAAAAGUGUCAAUCAUAACUUUGAACAUGAAUGGGAUGAACUCACCCAUAAAACAUAGACGAAUAGGAGAGUAGAUUAGAAUCCAAAUUCCUACCAUAUGUUGUCUACAAGAAAUGCACAUGAGGCGAGUAGAUACUCACAAGGUCAGAAUUAAAGGGUGGAGUAUGACCUAUUGGACCUGUGGAAAGGAAACAAGACUGACAGUUUGUGGGGGAAGGGCCCAACUGGGAGUGGCAGUUGGGUCUUGUGACUAGCACUUCCUUUCUGCCGGAUGGGGCUUGCUUCCUGGUGUUGGAGGAGAGAGGAGCUUGUUCAGCCCAGUCUGGAGUGCCAUGCUCUUUCUUGGUUCAGCCUGAAGAUUCAAGUCCAAUCUGUUCUGAAGUUUCUUCUCUUGAGGAAGACAUAUACCGGUCAUUCUUCAAACACUAUUUCUGUUGCUGCUUAUAAUGUUUUCUUGAUUCUGCUCAUUGCAUUCUUCAAAAUUUCAGUUACAGACAUUUAUGCUACACUGGAGAAUGGAACAGCCAUGAAGUCAAGAAUACUAGGAGAGCUCCAGCCCUGACUCUGAUAUAUACUAUUUGUAAGCCACUUACCUUUGUGUCCCAGGUUGAUGACUUCCUUAGGAAGCAAUCCAGAGCCUACCUCUCCCAUGACCUUCUGGGCCACUAUGAGAUAUACCCUUCCUAUGCAGUUCACACUAUUUGGAUGAGCAGUGAAUUACCAACUUUAAUCCAGAAUGAUGAGACCAUCAGUCCUUAUCAUUUGCCCAGCCACUACAGUUUACAAACCCCUGAGCAUUGCCAUUUCCCCUGCCAGGGUACCCUGAGAAUUUUGAGGCUUUCUUUUCCAUCCUGCAGCUGAAUGUUCCUUUAAGUGUUGUUUCCUCCAACUAGAAUGAGAGCUCCUUGAGAGCAGGGAUCAAUUCAUUUUUUAUUUAUAGUCGCAAGGCUCAGCACAGUGUUUGGAAUAUUGUAAGGGUUUAAUAAAUACUUUUUCAUUCACUCA